AUACGUAGGGGGCGAGCGUUGUCCGGAAUGAUUGGGCGUAAAGGGCGCGUAGGCGGCGCGGUAAGUCUGGAGUGAAAGUCCUGCUUUCAAGGUGGGAAUUGCUUUGGAUACUGCCGCGCUUGAGUGCAGGAGAGGUUAUCGGAAUUCCCGGUGUAGCGGUGAAAUGCGUAGAGAUCGGGAGGAACACCAGUGGCGAAGGCGGGUAACUAGACUGCAACUGACGCUGAGGCGCGAAAGCGUGGGUAGCGAACAGGAUUAGAUACCCUGGUAGUCCACGCCGUAAACGAUGGAUACUAGGUGUUGGGGCAACUCAGUAGCGCAGUUAACACAUUAAGUAUUCCGCCUGGGGAGUACGCACGCAAGUGUAAAACUCAAAUGAAUUGACGGGG
rnacentral:rRNA from 1 species